rnacentral:rRNA from 1 species
GAUGAACGCUGGCGGCGUGCUUAACACAUGCAAGUCGAACGAGAAGUGAAGACGGAAACCUUCGGGCGGAAGGCUUUAUUUCGAGUGGCGGACGGGUGAGUAACGCGUGGGUAACCUGCCUCAUACAGGGGGAUAACAGUUGGAAACGACUGUUAAUACCGCAUAAGACCACAGCACCGCAUGGUGCGGGGGUAAAAACUCCGGUGGUAUGAGAUGGACCCGCGUUCGAUUAGCCAGUUGGCGGGGUAACGGCCCACCAAAGCGACGAUCGAUAGCCGAUCUGAGAGGAUGACCGGCCACAUUGGGACUGAGACACGGCCCAAACUCCUACGGGAGGCAGCAGUGGGGAAUAUUGCACAAUGGGGGAAACCCUGAUGCAGCGACGCCGCGUGAGUGAAGAAGUAUUUCGGUAUGUAAAGCUCUAUCAGCAGGGAAGAAAAUGACAGUACCUGAGUAAGAAGCCCCGGCUAACUACGUG